CCUCUUGGUUCAAAUUUGUCUUUGUGAGAUUUGGUAUUGGUUAUGUAACAAAGGCAUCCAAAGGUUUUUAGGGAAGAAAAAUCUGGUUUAGUCUUGUAUAGGAUCUCAAAAUGAGUCUUCCAAUUUAGCACUGAACUGGGAAUUCUGUUUAUAAUGUGUGUGGCCAUUAUUAUAGAGUGUGACCAGAAGUAUCGAGGUAAAUGAGCUUGAAACAUGAGGGAUCUGGCCAUUUGGAGUAAAUGUCUGUGUUUUCUUUCUACAACUCCAUUUUGUUGUGGAGUGUAGACACAUAAUUUUUGGUGAAGAAUUCCUAAAGUUUGGAGCAAGGUCUGACAUUCAUUUCCAGUAAAUUCACUUCCAUUGUCCAUUCUAAUAGUUUUAACAUCCUUUUUGAACUGAUUUUUAAUCAUUUUGAAGAAGACUUCUAAGGUCUUAACAGUCUGGGAUUUGUGCACAAGCAUGAAGGUCCAUGUGCCUCUACUGUAGUCAUCUACAAUGGUGAGCAUAAAAGGUGUUCCAGUCAGGUUAUGUUGUCUAUAGGGACCCCAUAUGUCAAUGUGCAACAACUCAAAGGUGGUUUUUGAAUGAAUUUGUGAGUUUUGAAACGGGAGUCUGUUUUGUUUGGCUUUGUGACAAACAUCACAUGGUUCAACAUUCUUAAUGGCAGAAUUAUUGCAAAGUUGUUUAAGGAAGCUGAGAUGUUGUAAGCAUUGAAAUGAAGCAUGACCAAGUUUGAUAUGCCAAUCAACAAGAGAAAAGGGAGAAGCCUUAUCAUUAAAAGGAAUUUUAUUUCCAGAAUUCGAAUUCUCAGUAGAUAGAAGAUUACAGAUGUUCAUUCUCCUACAACAAAUUUCAACUCCAUUAUUCUGGAAACUAUGGUCAUAAGUGUGUAUAACUUUCCAUUCAAUUUUCCAACUGCCAUCGUCCUAUCACUCUUCAGGUCUUGCAUCACGCAAUAUGUAGGAUGGAAGAUAAAUUUAAUCUGUGCAGUUCGACAGAGUUUAGGGACUGAUAGUAAAUUAAGUUUAAAAGUAGGUACGUGAAGAACAUCAGUUAAAGUGAUUUUGUGGUUCAUGGCAAUGGUUCCAAUGUGUUUGACAGCUUUGACAGAACCAUCAGGUAGCAAAACGGAGGUAGGCUGUGUGACUGGUUUUAAGUUGGUCAAUUGUGAUGAAUUUGUGCAUAUGUGAUUGCUGGCACCAGUGUUAAUAAUCCAAGUACCAUAUUUCAAUUCAUCAAGUGAAGUAAAAACAAAGUGUUGAGUGUGCGUACCAGAAUAAUCCCUGAGAUGUGCAAAAUUCACUUGAUCUUCAUUAUCAUUAAGCUUCUUUCCUUUCAGUAUUUUCAUCAGUUCUUGCUGAACAAUGGCAACAAUAUCGGAAGAGGAUGAUGUAUCCUUUGUAGUCACAGCAGCAAAAUCAUUAUCAAAAUCAAGUGGUGAAUUAUCUAUUUUCAUCACAUUAUUUGAAGCAUUCCUCCAGCUAGGAUCCUUUGGUUUUUGAUCUUUUUUGUACCAAUCCGGAAAGCCAAUAAUUCUGAAACAUCCUUCCUUUGAAUGUCCACUCAUACCGCAGUGGUCACAGUACAUCAACUCCUUAUCAAAAUUGCCAUAUCUUCUGUUAAUUCCCCUUCCUAUAGCAUGGUUUCCUCUACCAAAAGCAGAUCUACCUGUCCAAUUUCCUCUUCCAGAUCCAUUUCUUCCACAUCCAUCAUUCCUAGUAUUAACUCCUCUAAUCAUCAUCGCAGUGUUAUCAUUGGGUUCAGGAUACAACAUAUGCACUUCUCUUUGUUUUUCCACUCUUAGAACCAUAGAAUAGGCUCUAUUCACUAAGGGUAAAGGCUCCAUUACAAGAACUUGAUUUCUGACAUUGUCGUAUGUAUCAUUCAGCCCCAUCAAAAAUUGCAUAAGUUUGUUGAAAGAAGCUGAAUCAGAGACUUCCUUCGCAGCUCCACAUGUACAGACCGGUGAUGGCAUAAGACAUGCUAUUUCAUCCCAUAAUUUUUUAAGAUUGGUGAAAUAUUUCUCCACCGUCAUUGAUCCUUGUGUUAUACUACUGAUCUCUCUCUGCAACUGGUAAAGUAAUGGCCCAUUGCAUUCACCAUAUCUUUCGUUUAAUUCAUCCCAUAAAUCCUUGGCUGAUGUCGUGAAAAUAAAUGCCUCCACAAUUUCCUUCGAGAUUGAAUUUAAGAUCCAAAAUCUAACCAUGCAGUCUACCCUAUUCCAUUGAUCAAAAUUUUGAGAUUCACUAUCUGGUUUCUCACAUUUCCCGUUUAUGAAGCCUAACUUCAAUUUUGCACCUAAUGCUAUUUUAAUGGACCUGCUCCAACUGUGAUAAUUUUUACCUGUCAAUUGUGAAGUCACAAGGAUCAUUCCUGGAUGAUCCGAACUCUACAAAUCCAAUGGAUCUCCAUUGGAAUACUCCUUUGCUGCUGCUCCUUGUUCAAGUGGCGGAGGAUUUUGUAGAUCAUUAUUUUGAUCGUUGUUGUUUGCCAUCCUUUUUCUGAUAUGUUUAUCACUUCAAAACUUUAUGUGUGCGAGACGAUAUAAGGCUCCGAUACCAUGAUCAAAGCUGGAAGAAGAAGUGAAGUGAAAUGUGCAGUAAAAUGGAUGGUAUCAGAGCUUCAAUUUGAUACCAUCUUUAUUUUUUGCUGAUUCUGGUGGUUUAUGGAUUAGUUUUCUAAGAUUUGACAGUGAGAUGGUUGUAAUUUUUCAGAAGAAAAAUAUCACAAUUUCAGAAAGGGCUUCAAUUUGAUAUCAUUUGAAGUAAUUUUUCAUGGUUAAUCUAUUAAUUAGCUGAGUUUACUUAUUUGGUUGAAGUUAUGGCAUCUGGUUUUGAUGAUAUGUUGCUGGUUAUCGAAACCAGAGAAUUGAGGGUUUUUGGGAAAAUGAAUUUUACUCGAGUUGUCUACACAAGUUAGGACUAUUUUAGUUUAUAGUAAGAUCGAGUUACCAACUGAAAUCACCCAGAGCCUUGAAAUAUAAUGAAAUUUCUUCUGCACAAACAUUUGAGCAAUCUCAUGCCUAGUCAACUAUAACCACAACGUUCAAUGGCAAUGGAGUAUGUGAUCUAUGAUCUGUACCAUCGACAAGCUUAUGAUUCCAUACAACGUGGCGAGGAAGACAAGCUUUCUUACGAACCCCUUUACUUGAACUACUAACUUGCAAGGUCAGGUAACAAGACAAAUAGGAGAAAUUUUAACUGGAACCGUAAUAUUCUAGGCUUUUUACAAUUUUGUUUAUUCAUCUCAUAAUGACACUAUGCACUUCAGUGCGUCAGUGGAAUAUCACAUAUGUUUUUUGACUUUGUAUAUAAUUACAAUAUGUAUUUCUCAAUGGAUACAAAACUCCCAUGCUUUGUGCCUAAUUGCACGACUCCACUUGCAGUAGUCCUCAAGUUAUUUCUUCUUAAAAUAUUUCACGGGCAUCCUUCGUUUUUUUCCCAUUGACCCAAAGGUCCCAUAUGCAGACCCUGGAGAAGAGACCUGGAUUUAUCAUGGUAGGCUCCCAGAGCGAUGGUAAACGGACCAUCCUUUCCCGU
rnacentral:lncRNA from 1 species